AGCGAACGCUGGCGGCAGGCCUAACACAUGCAAGUCGAACGAACUCUUCGGAGUUAGUGGCGGACGGGUGAGUAACACGUGGGAACGUGCCUUUAGGUUCGGAAUAACUCAGGGAAACUUGUGCUAAUACUGAAUGUGCUCUUCGGGGGAAAGAUUUAUCGCCUUUAGAGCGGCCCGCGUCUGAUUAGCUAGUUGGUGAGGUAAAGGCUCACCAAGGCGACGAUCAGUAGCUGGUCUGAGAGGAUGAUCAGCCACAUUGGGACUGAGACACGGCCCAAACUCCUUCGGGAGGCAGCAGUGGGGAAUCUUGCGCAAUGGGCGAAAGCCUGACGCAGCCAUGCCGCGUGAAUGAUGAAGGUCUUAGGAUUGUAAAAUUCUUUCACCGGGGACGAUAAUGACGGUACCCGGAGAAGAAGCCCCGGCUAACUUCGUGCCAGCCGCCGCCGUAA
rnacentral:rRNA from 1 species